rnacentral:rRNA from 1 species
UACGUAGGGUGCGAGCGUUGCCCGGAUUUAUUGGGCGUAAAGGGCGCGUAGGCGGCCCUCUAAGUCGAACGUGAAAUCCCCGGGCUCAACCCGGGAACUGCGUCCGAUACUGGAAGGCUUGAAUCCGGGAGAGGGAUGCGGAAUUCCAGGUGUAGCGGUGAAAUGCGUAGAUAUCUGGAGGAACACCGGUGGCGAAGGCGGCAUCCUGGACCGGCAUUGACGCUGAGGCGCGAAAGCCAGGGGAGCAAAGCGGG